rnacentral:lncRNA from 1 species
UUGGAUGAGAGAGAAACUAUUGCCUUGUAUUAACUACCCAAAUAAACUUUCUAUUAGACUACAAGGUAUGGUGAUGGACCAUCCUUGGAGGAUGAUCCGCCACGUAGGCGACACGUUAUAGUCCUCCCAAGGAUGGAUCAUCCUCCAAAACUAGAGGGCAUGGGAGGAUGUAACAAAAUAUUUUCAUUAAUAUUAAAAAACAUUACAUCAACUUAAAAAAAAUAAACUUAAAAAAAAUAAAUUAAAAAAAAACAUAAACUUAAAAACCUAAAUUUAUCGUGGCCGGCUAUAAAUUUAGAACAAAACAUAAAUGAAAUUAAUUAUAAAAUACAUUUUA